AUUGAACGCUGGCGGCAUGCUUUACACAUGCAAGUCGGACGGCAGCACAGAGAAGCUUGCUUCUUGGGUGGCGAGUGGCGCACGGGUGAGUAAUAUAUCGGAACGUACCGAGUAAUGGGGGAUAACUAAUCGAAAGAUUAGCUAAUACCGCAUAUUCCCUGAGGAAGAAAGUAGGGGAUCUUCGGGCCUUGCGUCAUUCGAGAGGCAGAUAUCUGAUUUGCUAGUUGGGGGGGUAAAGGCCUACCAAGGCGACGAUCAGGAGCGGGUCUGAGAGGAGGAGCGGCCACACGGGAACUGGGACACGCCCCAGACUCCUACGGGAGGCAGCGGUGGGGAAUUUUGGCCAAUGGGCGCAAGCCUGAUCCAGCCAGGCCGCGUGUCUGAAGAAGGCUUUCGGGUGUUAAAGGACUUUUGUCAGGGAAGAAAAGGCUGUUGCUAAUACCGACAGCUGAUGACGGUACCUGAAGAAUAAGCACCGGCUAACUACGUG
rnacentral:rRNA from 1 species